rnacentral:rRNA from 1 species
GCGGCGAACGGGUGAGUAACGCGUGGAUAACCUACCUCAAGGUCUGGGAUAACAGCUCGAAAGGGCUGCUAAUACCGGAUGUGGUGCAUAUGCUGCAUGGUAGAUGCACUAAAGGGGAAACCCGCCAUGAGAUGGGUCCGCGUCCCAUCAGCUAGUUGGUGGGGUAAAGGCCUACCAAGGCGACGACGGGUAGCCGGCCUGAGAGGGUGACCGGCCACACUGGGACUGAGACACGGCCCAGACUCCUACGGGGGGCAGCAGUGGGGAAUAUUGCACAAUGGGCGAAAGCCUGAUGCAGCGACGCCGCGUGGGCGAAGGAGGCCUUCGGGCUGUAAAGCCCUGUCUGGAGGGACGAAGUAAUGACGGUACCUCCGGAGGAAGCCACGGCUAACUACGUGCCAGCAGCCGCGGUAAUACGUAGGUGGCGAGCGUUGUCCGGAAUUACUGGGCGUAAAGGGCGUGCAGGCGGCCACUUAAGUCGGGCGUGAAAACCGCUG